ACAGUUCCGGCCUUCAUAGACGCUUCCUUUAACAGCUUGUUAAGGCUACACGGGGGAUAUUUGUCUUUUGUGCAAUAGUGCGGAUUUACCAUAUUACUCCUUUUCCGUAUAUAAGCUGGCAUCAGGACUCAAGGGGAAGUAAUGACGCAGACGUCAUUGUAAGCGAGACUCAAACCCGUUACUCGCUCCCAAAUCCGGGUCCCAGCCAGAGAAGCCUUUGAAAGUCAAAGAAAUGAACAUCAUGGUCAUUUCCUUCUUCAUAUUGUGUUUGGUGUGCGUACACCCGCUUGAAGCAGUUAGUGUUACUCUGAUGCCACAUGGAAGCGUCAGUGCUGGCAAGGUCUUGACUCUUACGUGCAACUUUACAUCAGAUGCAAAAACUAGUCCACAGACUUGGAUGACCUGGAGUUUUGGAAAUGCUGAGGUCUGCAAAUAUGUGAAUAAUAAUUUGAGGCCAAUCUCCAACGAAGCCUUCAAGCAUCGAACGACCUGCCAUGGUGACAUCAAGAGAAAUUUUAUCCAAAUGUCAAUUUCUAACAUUCAAGUUAACGACAGUGGAAUAUACAAGUGUGACGUCAGCAAUUUCCCUGAUCAAACACCAGGAGAAGAAUCCACCAAUAUUUCUAUUGAGAAAGAUUCCUCCCGCAAAGGAAGCGAGAGAGAUGCUGGCAACAAAGGAAAUGGGUCACAUCACGCCCACUGGCUGCUGCUGCUGCUGUUGCUGCCGAUUCCAUUGGCUAGAGGAACAGCCUAUGGCUAGACAACAAGCAGCCGGGGCUACAAAGAAGGCUCCGGUGAUCUUCGUUACCCUGCUUUGACACGAGAGCACAAGUAUAUUUAUCGUGUGUGUAAAGUGUAAUCAUGUUUUACGUAUGUGUUGUACAUAGAGUGUAGUGUAUAGUGGUGUGUAUGUUGUAUGUAUGUUAAACUUCGUUGGCACCGAAUGUAGCCAACCGCGCUGAUCGGAGGUGCGCGGAAGGAAAACAAAACUUUAACAACACCAACAAUUAACAGCAGUUCUGAAGCAAUGAAUAUGAUGAUGACGACGAUUUAAAAAGUGUAGAUGAGACCAACUUUAUCCCCAAGACGUACUGCAAGUCCCUCUGCUGGACAUCUGUGAAAAAGAGCUUUACAGCUCAUUGAAUUCCUCCGACAAGCCGAUUCCGAAUAGUCCCUCAAUACAAUUCCACGUUAACAUUUUCAGCUCAAACUAUGUUUGUUUAUUGUAGCACGUGUACGGCCCCACCGAGCUGCUGUGUCGUCGCUCUUCUUCAGAAGCGACCCUGCCCAUCACAAAUGAUCUCAGCUCAACCAAGCAGCUGAUAUCGUCAUCCCGUGAACAUAUUGAUAGGAGCAGCCAAAUACUCUAAACGCGUGGGAACGCAGACUCCAGAUAUACAGUAGCGGCAGCAGCCAUCGCCAAGGUCAGGAUCAGGAUCGGACCCACGACCUCCUGUACACCCGGCGAGCUAGUGAACUUCUCGCCACCGUCGUGAUGA